AGGAGGACAAACUGUCUUGGGUGCUAAGAUGUGCCUCAGCAACAGUGGGCAAUAUUGAUCUCCUGAUGCUUCGACACAAUUUCCAAAAGCAACAGGUUUUGAAGGAAAGAAGCCUCUUCCCGUCUUAACUGCUGGGUAUAUGGAGCGCACUAUAGCUGGG